AAAUUUUACUCACAACUAUGAGCCUCCAUGACUAAAUUGGACUUUUAUUUUUUUCAACUGACAUCUCGGCCCCACCUGUCAUUCCCUCAGCACCCCACCCACCUCUCUCACUCGCUCCUACCCUACCCCGCGCCGCCGCCUGCUUGUCGUCCGGUCGCCGCCGCCCUCUCGGCGUUUGCCCGCCGCCUCCCCCGCCUCCCUUCAUCACCCGGCACCACCUCCGGCGCCCUCUUGUCCCCCGCGGAGACGGCGCCCUUGGCCCUGACCGCAGCCGCCGCCGCCGCCGCCGCCUUGGCCUACAGCUCGAGUUCCACGGCGGCCCUCAGCUACCGGAGCUGCCUCUCGUGCUCCGCCACCUCCCGCGGCCCCAUCACUGACACGUCCCUCGCCACCGCCCGCCGCAUCAUGCCCACCGCCGGCGCCUCCCUGUGCCGGACCGCGGCGCCGUCGGGCCGGAGCACGACGGCGCACACGUCCACGCCGAACUCCGCCGCCACGCCGCGGAGUUGGUGGAGUCGUUCGCGACGAGGGACAAGGAGAGGAUCAUCGCCGCCAUCCGGAAGUACACCUCGCUUGAGCCUGAGACGACCGUGUGUGUUACCGACACCGCACCUUCUGAUCUGUUUCGAACUCACAAGGUAUCAUCUUGAUUUAGGAUUUCAGGAUUUCUUUGCUAUGCCAAUCUGCACUGCUAUUUGCUAAUUGCUACAGCCAGACUUUAAUCAAGCACAUAUAGACCUAGCUAGCAAGAUCCUCCUGGCUGUAUGUGCUUGAAUAGAUUAAGUGGUUCUUUUCUUAUGCUCCUCCGGAAUGGACUGCACAUGUUCUUGCUAGUUCUUUAAAAAAAAAACGUAUUCUAGCUAGAGCAGAUGGUGGUUGUACAAGUUGUUCAUCUCUUUCAGCCUGUCAAACUAUCAGGCCUUUUCCUAUAGGAAGACAGGAGCCAAGUUUUUUUGGAAAAUGGCUGAUAUCACUGUCUCUUUCCAAUAUGGCUGCAAUAUUGUCUUUGCAGUGCAGUACUCGGAGCUUUUGCUAAUCCUGAGGUGGAAAAAAUUAUCUUUGCAUCGUGUUCGUGUCUCAAUUGUCUUUGCAUCUCAGUUCAAGAUUUAGCAGUGUUUGAAAUGCUUUCAGAAGAUGCAGACUAGCAUUCAGACUAGCAACCCAGAAUUCAGUGUAUGUAACCUCAGCAGCAGCGACGGUCAAUGCCUCAGGUUUGCAGCAGUGACGACCAAGAAACAGCAGCACCCUUCGUCUUUCCUUAACCCGUGAUGUCUGACAGGGUGAUCCAUACAUGGUGUCGUUUACCUGCUGGACAGACUCAAAUUCGAUGUAGCAUUCAAGUAUAUUAGAUGGAGCAUUCUGGUGGCACUUGGAUGCCAAACCCACAUCAUUUUGUAAGAUAGUACUUUAUCCAGUACUUGGAUGCUCACAUCAUUUUUUGUAACACUUGGAUGGUGCCUGUUGCUGCAUUGUGAAUUCUGAAUGUUACUGAAUUCUGAGCAGAAAUAAUAGUGAUGGCAUUCUACAUUCUGCAUUUUGUAAGACUUGUGCUCACAUCAUUUUGUAAGACAAUACUUUAUCCAGUACUGAAGCAUUCUGCAUUCUGUUACUGAAUUC